GCGCGAAACCUCCGCAAUGUGAGAAAUCGCGACGGGGGGAUCCCAAGUGCCAUUCUUAACGGGAUGGCUUUUCUUAAGUGUAAAAAGCUUUUGGAAUAAGAGCUGGGCAAGACCGGUGC
rnacentral:rRNA from 1 species